UUCGCUAUGUGCUCACCACAUGGCUGCG
rnacentral:snRNA from 1 species